AAUUAUAUAAUAUAAUUUUAAUAUAUUUAACUUCCAAUUAAAAAAUUUAAUUUAAUUUAAUAUAAUUA
rnacentral:tRNA from 1 species